rnacentral:lncRNA from 1 species
CUCUGAAUCUUGACCCAUUUUUUGUGUGCAUAGCAUCGCUGCACUGCAGAGACACAGACAGAACAGGUAGCAAUCAACCCCAUCCAAAAUCCUGAACAGAAGACUCUUUGGAAUGGACCCAGAACCUUUCUCUUCUGUGCUUCCUGGGGCUGUUCCAAAGGAACCCAGGGUAAGGGAAAAUUUUCAGGAAGAUAUAACAGUGACACAGAGGGAAGAGAGAUUUCCCUUGUUACCCCAAACUGUCGCAGUAUUGUCAUUUGUUUUACACCGCCUCCAAGCACAGACUGGUAUGCACAAGGCAAUGCACUUUGAACUCUCUUCAGAUGGAGGAGCCGAGACUUUAAAAAAAAAGUUUGGACUGGUCGAUCUACUGUUUGGCAUUGAUAUGGAGAAAAAAAGAAACAAACAUGAGAGUCCGUCCAUUGGAAAAACAGUAAGUAUUCUAGCAUGUAAUCUCUAAAUAUUUUAUACUUAGAGUGCCUUUUUCAUUAAGAAUACACUCCUAUUUCCUGACAUGGGGAAAGUGGAUCAGUAUCUUCACUCUUAAAAAUUCCGUUUAAAUGUAGAUUUUGAGUGCGUGCCAGGUCUGAAUAAAACCCUUACAGAACUAUUGCUAUAAAAAUCA